rnacentral:misc_RNA from 1 species
AUGCGUCGUUGUCAUGCCUAUAUCGGUCCUAUGAAGGCUUCGCUCGUCGCUUUCGUGCGCUUGUGAGGAGACGCCUCUCCACGAGUCAUGAUUCGACGCUUGAUGCCACAUCAUAGUGAACCUGAUGGCAUGUGAGUGGUGUUUGGGCGGCGUGGGUGGCCAGGCUCCUUGCUCGUGCAGCGAACUGUCGCCACACCUCCCUCUUCAUUGUAAGCCUUAAGCCUUGCUUGGGCACGGUGAUACCACGGUUCCUGUGUUGCCUUCCUCACGAAUGGAAUUGUCCCUCAAACGAUGCUUAUCUCCGCCUAGCUCCCGCUCACGCGGUGCAAGCGGACCCUGAAAGCGGUCGCGCAUGUCCCAUGGUCGUCCCACCACGCACAGGCACGCAUGCUUGCAUGUGACGGGGUCGAGCAUGACGCACGGUGGCUGUUGGUGCUCCUGGCUGCGGAACCUUAAAACGGGCGUGUGGGGUCCUUGCAUCCCUUACUCGCCGAGCUAAACGCUCAUUGCUAGACGCGUACGACGGCCGCCACCGUCCUUGCCCUUCCCGUCCCGCCCCCUUCGGAGGGGCGGUCGGUCAGGUGCAUGCGGUGCCGGCGUCGCUGAGGAAUGC